CUACGGGGGGCUGCAGUGGGGAAUCUUAGACAAUGGGGGAAACCCUGAUCUAGCGAUGCCGCGUGAGUGAUGAAGGCCUUAGGGUCGUAAAGCUCUUUCGCCAGGGAAGAUAAUGACUGUACCUGGUAAAGAAACCCCGGCUAACUCCGUGCCAGCAGCCGCGGUAAUACGGAGGGGGUUAGCGUUGUUCGGAAUUACUGGGCGUAAAGCGCACGUAGGCGGAUCAGAAAGUUAGAGGUGAAAUCCCAGGGCUCAACCCUGGAACUGCCUUUAAAACUCCUGGUCUUGAGUUCGAGAGAGGUGAGUGGAAUUCCAAGUGUAGAGGUGAAAUUCGUAGAUAUUUGGAGGAACACCAGUGGCGAAGGCGGCUCACUGGCUCGAUACUGACGCUGAGGUGCGAAAGCGUGGGGAGCAAACAGGAUUAGAUACCCGUGUAGUC
rnacentral:rRNA from 1 species